rnacentral:rRNA from 1 species
AUUGAACGCUGGCGGCAGGCCUAACACAUGCAAGUCGAACGGUAACAGGAAGCAGCUUGCUGCUUUGCUGACGAGUGGCGGACGGGUGAGUAAUGUCUGGGAAACUGCCUGAUGGAGGGGGAUAACUACUGGAAACGGUAGCUAAUACCGCAUAACGUCGCAAGACCAAAGAGGGGGACCUUCGGGCCUCUUGCCAUCGGAUGUGCCCAGAUGGGAUUAGCUAGUAGGUGGGGUAAAGGCUCACCUAGGCGACGAUCCCUAGCUGGUCUGAGAGGAUGACCAGCCACACUGGAACUGAGACACGGUCCAGACUCCUACGGGAGGCAGCAGUGGGGAAUAUUGCACAAUGGGCGCAAGCCUGAUGCAGCCAUGCCGCGUGUAUGAAGAAGGCCUUCGGGUUGUAAAGUACUUUCAGCGGGGAGGAAGGGAGUAAAGUUAAUACCUUUGCUCAUUGACGUUACCCGCAGAAGAAGCACCGGCUAACUCCAUG